GAUGAACGCUAGCGGCAGGCCUAAUACAUGCAAGUCGAACGGUGUCUUCGGACAUAGUGGCGCACGGGUGCGUAACACGUAUGCAACCUACCUUACAUUGGGGGAUAGCCUUUCGAAAGGGAGAUUAAUACCGCAUAAGACAGUAGCUGGGCAUCCAGCAGCUGUUAAAGAUUUAUCGAUGUAAGCUGGGCAUGCGUCCAAUUAGCUAGUUGGUGAGGUAACGGCUCACCAAGGCAAUGAUUGGUAGGGGAACUGAGAGGUCAAUCCCCCACACUGGGACUGAGGUACGGGCCAGACGCCUACGGGAGGCAGCGGUAGGGAAUAUUGGGCGAUGGACGCAAGUCUGACCCAGCCAUGCCGCGUGCAGGAUGAAGGCGUUAUGCGUUGUAAACUGCUUUUAUACAGGAAGAAACGACUCUUGCGAGAGGCAUUGACGGUACUGUAUGAAUAAGCACCGGCUAACUCCGUGCCAGCAGCCGCCGUAAAAC
rnacentral:rRNA from 1 species